GCCGGCGUAGCGCAAUGGUAGCGCGUUGCUUUCCUAUAUGUACAAUUAUUCAUGCCAAAAGGCAAAGGUUGUGGGUUCGAUCCCCAUCGUCGGUU
rnacentral:tRNA from 1 species